rnacentral:misc_RNA from 1 species
GUGUAAUAUCAGACGUUGAAGGCCGUUUCCUGACAGAAUCCACCUUUUGUGACUUCCACUCCCGGCAUCCCUCCACAGGAUCAACAGAGGUAGUAAUGCAAGAACUCAUUGCCUCAGAGGACACUGAACCACAAAUGCCUGCUAAAACGUCUGCAGCAACAGUUUCUCUUUCAUUCUCAAGAAUGUCAAAACUGCUUGAUCGGUCUAAAAUCCUAUCAUCAGCAUGCGACGUUUUAGAAUCACUGUAGCCUCCCAAAUAGAAUCUACCAGAACACACCCGUUGAUUUCCCAUAGAAUUGUCAGCAUCUGCUGCUAUGACUGAAGCUGCACCCAGAAUAUCAAGCGAGGCAGCAUUCAUUUCACGAUUCCAAUUCUUACCAGAUGCCACUAAGUAGUUAGUAGAGGACUUUGCUUGCGUACUCUUUUUGGUUUUCUCAAAACAAUCA